GCCGGGGUGCCCUAGCCCGGUAGGGGGCGGGCCUGGAGAGCCCGUGGCCCAUUGGGCCGCGUGGGUUCGAGUCCCACCCCCGGCGCCA
rnacentral:tRNA from 1 species